AAAAACUCCGGUGGUGUAAGAUGGAUCCGCGUCUGAUUAGCUGGUUGGCGGGGUAGAAGCCCACCAAGGCGACGAUCAGUAGCCGGCCUGAGAGGGUGAACGGCCACAUUGGGACUGAGACACGGCCCAAACUCCUACGGGAGGCAGCAGUGGGGAAUAUUGCACAAUGGGGGAAACCCUGAUGCAGCAACGCCGCGUGAGUGAAGAAGUCAUUCGUGAUGUAAAGCUCUAUCAGCAGGGAAGAAAAUGACGGUACCUGAGUAAGAAGCCCCGGCUAACUACGUGCCAGCAGCCGCGGUAAUACGUAGGGGGCAAGCGUUAUCCGGAUUUACUGGGUGUAAAGGGAGCGUAGACGGCCAGACAAGUCUGAAGUGAAAAUCCAGCGCUUAACGUUGGAAGUGCUUUGGAAACUGCCGGGCUAGAGUGCAGGAGGGGCAGGCGGAAUUCCUAGUGUAGCGGUGAAAUGCGUAGAUAUUAGGAGGAACACCAGUGGCGAAGGCGGCCUGCUGGACUGCAACUGACGUCGAGGCUCGAAGGCGUGGGGAGCAAACAGGAUUAGAUACCCUGGUAGUCCACGCGGUAAACGAUGAUUACUAGGUGUCGGGGGGCUAGAGCCCUUCG
rnacentral:rRNA from 1 species